rnacentral:tRNA from 2 species
CGCGGGAUGGAGCAGCCCGGUAGCUCGUCAGGCUCAUAACCUGAAGGUCGUAGGUUCAAAUCCUACCCCCGCAACCA